GGGCCCGCACAAGCGGUGGAGUAUGUGGUUUAAUUCGAUGCAACGCGAAGAACCUUACCAGGGUUUGACAUCCUGCGAAUCUCUUGGAAACUUGAGAGUGCCUUCGGGAGCGCAGUGACAGGUGGUGCAUGGCUGUCGUCAGCUCGUGUCGUGAGAUGUUGGGUUAAGUCCUAUAACGAGCGCAACCCCUGCCGUUAGUUGCCAGCAUGUAAUGAUGGGAACUCUAACGGGACUGCCGGUGCAAACCGUGAGGAAGGUGGGGAUGACGUCAAAUCAUCACGGCCCUUACGUCCUGGGCUACACACGUGCUACAAUGGCCGGUACAGAGAGCAGCCACUACGCGAGUAGGCGCGAAUCUUCAAAGCCGGUCUCAGUUCGGAUCGGAGUCUGCAACUCGACUCCGUGAAGCUGGAAUC
rnacentral:rRNA from 1 species